rnacentral:rRNA from 1 species
UACGUAGGGUGCAAGCGUUGUCCGGAAUUAUUGGGCGUAAAGAGCUCGUAGGCGGUCUGUCGCGUCGGAUGUGAAAAUCCAGGGCUCAACCCUGGACCUGCAUUCGAUACGGGCAGACUAGAGUUCGGUAGGGGAGACUGGAAUUCCUGGUGUAGCGGUGAAAUGCGCAGAUAUCAGGAGAAACACCGGUGGCGAAGGCGGGUCUCUGGGCCGAUACUGACGCUGAGGAGCGAAAGCGUGGGGAGCGAACAGG